GCGACGUUCGGGCCAGCAGGGGCGGUAAUACGAAGGGGGCUGGCGUUGUUCGGAUUUACUGGGCGGAAAGCGCACGUAGGCGGAUCGUUAAGUCGGGGGUGAAAUCCUGGAGCUCAACUCCAGAACUGCCUUCGAUACUGGCGAUCUUGAGUCCGGAAGAGGUGAGUGGAACUCCUAGUGUAGAGGUGGAAUUCGUAGAUAUUAGGAAGAACACCAGUGGCGAAGGCGGCUCACUGGUCCGGUACUGACGCUGAGGUGCGAAAGCGUGGGGAGCAAACAGGAUUAGAUACCCGGGUAGUC
rnacentral:rRNA from 1 species